rnacentral:tRNA from 1 species
ACCAGGGUAGCUUAGUGGACAUGGCAUCUGCCCGGUAAGCGGAACAGUGUGGGUUCGAUUCCCAUCCCUGGAC